rnacentral:rRNA from 1 species
AGUGAACGCUGGCGGUAGGCCUAACACAUGCAAGUCGAACGGCAGCACAGUAAUAGCUUGUUCUUACGGGUGGCGAGUGGCGGACGGGUGCGGAAUACAUCGGAAUCUACUUUUUCGUGGGUGAUAACGUAGGGAAACUUACGCUAAUACCGCAUACGACCUACGGGUGAAAGCAGGGGAUCUUCGGACCUUGCGCGAUUCAAUGAGCCGAUGUCGGAUUAGCUAGUUGGCGGGGUAAAGGCCCACCAAGGCGACGAUCCGUAGCUGGUCUGAGGGGAUGAUCAGCCACACUGGAACUGAGACACGGUCCAGACUCCUACGGGAGGCAGCAGUGGGGAAUAUUGGACAAUGGGCGCAAGCCUGAUCCAGCCAUACCGCGUGGGUGAAGAAGGCCUUCGGGUUGUAAAGCCCUUUUGUUGGGAAAGAAAAGCAGCAGGUUAAUACCCCGCUGUUCUGACGGUACCAAAAGAAUAAGCACCGGCUAACUUCGUG